rnacentral:piRNA from 1 species
UGGGACAGAGAUGUUGAUGGGAAACAGAGA